rnacentral:rRNA from 1 species
UACGUAGGGGGCAAGCGUUGUCCGGAUUUAUUGGGCGUAAAGAGCGUGUAGGCGGCCAUGUAGGUCCGUUGUGAAAACUCGAGGCUCAACCUCGAGACGCCGAUGGAAACCAUGCGGCUAGAGUCCGGAAGAGGAGAGUGGAAUUCCUGGUGUAGCGGUGAAAUGCGCAGAUAUCAGGAGGAACACCAAUAGCGAAGGCAGCUCGCUGGGACGGUACUGACGCUAAGGCGCGAAAGCGUGGGGAGCGAACAGG